rnacentral:rRNA from 1 species
ACGUAGGGUGCAAGCGUUAAUCGGAAUUACUGGGCGUAAAGCGUGCGCAGGCGGUUAUAUAAGACAGAUGUGAAAUCCCCGGGCUCAACCUGGGAACUGCAUUUGUGACUGUAUAGCUAGAGUACGGUAGAGGGGGAUGGAAUUCCGCGUGUAGCAGUGAAAUGCGUAGAUAUGCGGAGGAACACCGAUGGCGAAGGCAAUCCCCUGGGCCUGCACUGACGCUCAUGCACGAAAGCGUGGGGAGCAAACAGGAUUAGAUACCCUGGUAGUCCACGCCCUAAACGAUGUCAACUGGUUGUUGGGUCUCUUCUGACUCAGUAACGAAGCUAACGCGUGAAGUUGACCGCCUGGGGAGUACGGCCGCAAGGUUG